rnacentral:lncRNA from 1 species
CCCAAGGGAACACUGUGGCUAUGAAGACACAUUUCACAAGUUCAUGGAUGGUGAUGCUGCCAGGCCAUAAUGGAAAUGAAAAUCCAGGACAUGUGUCUAUUCUGGUAAGAACAAAUUGUUUCCCCUCCAUAGCAAAUGGGGACCUAUUAAUCAACCAGCCACCAGAUCCCCUCAGUGUGCUAUGGCACCUCAUUGAGGACUUGGUGAAGACAUCUGCUGCUGGAACAUCCAGCACUGAGCAGAGGGGACAGCCCAGGAAGUCUUAGUGUCGGAUACAUGCAUACUGCUGUGGCAACAUGGUGACAGCAAGCUCCAGGAAUGCAGGAAGCUUUGUUUCCCUAGGACAUUGCCUGGAAAACUGAUGUUCAAUACAGUGAUGGGUUGAAAGAACAAACAAAAUAAAGAACAGAGAAUAAACGAAUGAAGAUAUUGUGCUACUCUUCAGCUGUCUGUCCAGCCAAGAGGCACAUUUCCUGGUGUAAUACCUUUUUUCUAAGGAGAACAUCUCACACUUUAAGUGUAUACACAAAUCACUUGGGAAUCUUGUUAAAAUUUCGGAUUGGAUUCAGUAGCCUCAGGUGGGACCUGAGAGCCUGCAUUUUGGACAAGCUCCAGGUGAUGAUGGUGAUGCUGGUCCUGGAGCCUUACUCAAAGCAGCAAGUAUUUAAACCAUCUCUCACCUCGGUCUCUCUUUCAUGAAUGUGUCUUUCAAGUUUCUUCCCCUACCUGCUGAUGGCACCCAGUUAUUAAAAGAGGGCUUUCUGUGAACUUUUGCAGUGAGUGAAGAGUGC